ACGGAGCAACGCCGCKUGAGUGAUGAAGGUUUUCGGAUCGUAAAGCUCUGUUGUUAGGGAAGAACAAGUGCAAGAGUAACUGCUUGCACCUUGACGGUACCUAACCAGAAAGCCACGGCUAACUACGUGCCAGCAGCCGCGGUAAUACGUAGGUGGCAAGCGUUGUCCGGAAUUAUUGGGCGUAAAGGGCUCGCMGGCGGUUUCUUAAGUCUGAUGUGAAAGCCCCCGGCUCAACCGGGGAGGGUCAUUGGAAACUGGGAAACUUGAGUGCAGAAGAGGAGAGUGGAAUUCCACGUGUAGCGGUGAAAUGCGUAGAGAUGUGGAGGAACACCAGUGGCGAAGGCGACUCUCUGGUCUGUAACUGACGCUGAGGAGCGAAAGCGUGGGGAGCGAACAGGAUUAGAUACCCUGGUAGUCCACGCCGUAAACGAUGAGUGCUAAGUGUUAGGGGGUUUCCGCCCCUUAGUGCUGCAGCUAACGCAUUAAGCACUCCGCCUGGGGAGUACGGUCGCAAGACUGAAACUCAAAGGAAUUGACGGGGGCCCGCACAAGCGGUGGAKCAUGUGGUUUAAUUCGAARCAACGCGAAGAACCUUACCAGGUCUUGACAUCCUCUGACAACCCUASAGAUAGGGCUUUCCCUUCGGGGACRRAGUGACAGGUGGUGCAKGGUUGUCRUCAKCUCSUGUC
rnacentral:rRNA from 1 species